rnacentral:rRNA from 1 species
AGAGUUUGAUCCUGGCUCAGGAUGAACGCUGGCGGUAUGCCUUACACAUGCAAGUCGAACGGGAAUUAGCUUCGGUUAAUUCUAGUGGCGGACGGGUGAGUAACACGUGAGAAUUCGCCUUUAGGAGGGGGAUAACGAAUGGAAACAUUCGCUAAAACCCCAUAUGCCCCUGGGUGAAAAAGAGGAGAUAAGUUAAACUGAAUCACCUCUGCCUGAAGAGAAGCUCGCGGCUGAUUAGCUAGUUGGUAGGGUAAUGGCCUACCAAGGCGACGAUCAGUAGCUGGUCUGAGAGGACGAUCAGCCACACUGGAACUGAGACACGGUCCAGACUCCUACGGGAGGCAGCAGUGAGGAAUUUUCUGCAAUGGGCGAAAGCCUGACAGAGCAAUACCGCGUGGGGGAUGAAGACUUACUGAGUUGUAAACCUCGGUGCCUUAAGGAAGAAGAUCUGACGGUACUUAAGGUGGAAAGCAUCGGCUAACUCCGUGCCAGCAGCCGCGGUAAGACGGGGGAUGCAAGUGUUAUCCGGAAUUACUGGGCGUAAAGCGUCUGCAGGUGGUUUCUUAAGUCUACUGUUAAAUCUUGAGGCUCAACCUCAAAUCUGCAGUAGAAACUAGGAGACUUGGGUAUAGUAGGGGUAGAGGGAAUUUCCAGUGUAGCGGUGAAAUGCGUAGA